GGAGAGGAUGACUGAGAUUUCUACUCAGCUGUAAAACACAUGGAUCAGACUUAGGUUUGAAAAGAGGCAGAGAAGGGAACCUGUUCAUGUUGACACUCUGACCUCUGGUAGAACCAAACACUUCGGCUGGAAAGGGUUUCAGCAGACCAGAUCCUGUGAAUCCUUGGACCCUUCUUCUACUUACACCAGCGGAAACCCGCAACCUGUUGGAUCAAUGAUGGCACAGGUGUGAAAUGAAGAUGAGUAAAAGGAGCAAGGAGGCAAGGAGUUUCGGUGAGCUGGAGAACAUGGAUGCAAGGAGGUGAUAAACAGCUAAUAAACAGUGUUCCUGCUACAGCUGAACAAUUCCUAAUGCACAACAUCACUGCUCUAUGUUUAGAUGCUGAUGAUGACGAUGAUGAUGAUGAUGAUGAUAUGACUUGCCAUGUAUAAAGAAAUAUUUCAAUAUAUGGUGCUAAUCUGAAGAGUUGCAUUCCUCAUCUGCACCUGUGCAUGCUGGUGAGCAGUAGAACAUGCAGAAUGCAACACCUUCUCCAGCU